AGGACCUCACGGAACUGCCAUCUGAUCUAUAGACCACGGCGUGCGCAGAAAGGCAUAUCUUUCCAGUUCCGAGCUCAUAAAUGAUCAAUGCUGAUGGUUCGUAGAUGACCCAUAUAUCUUUGAUCAUGCCAUAUCAGAGAUAUAGUCCUGGCGAACCUAAAUACCCGAAUAUUUGUAAAUUGAGCAAGAAUUUGGACGUGAAAUAUGUAUGAAUUUUCUUUCAGCCGGCCUCGACGGCAUUCACUGGUUCCUAGUUGACCUGAAUAUCCUUGAUUAUACCAUAUCAUAGAUAUUGUCCUAGUGAACCUAAAGAAAUAAAUCCACGCAAAACACGCAUGGAAAUGGUCCAGAAAUAUAUGUGUAUUCUUUUUCUUAAAAUACUUCUUUAACACGCGCGUGAAGUGACAAUCUUGCAGGUAAUUGAAGCCCGAACUGGGGCAGAUCAGAAAGUCAUUUAUAGCAAAAAACGAGAUGCAUCAUUCAUUUGACACAGGAUUAAAUGGACCAGGGCUAUCAUCUGGCUAAGGGACAUCAAAAUUGUCCAGGAUUCUUAGAUGACCCCAUAAUUUUUUGAUGCAGAUCGACGCAGCUUGUCCUUACGAUCCUAACGCACCAAGUUCUGCGAAAUUGUGCAAGGAUAUGGCCGAGCUAUGGCCAUUUUUCUAAAAAGGACAUUCUUUUUUUGGCCAUAACUUGGCCAAAUCCUGAAGGAUAUCAGAAGGAUACAUCUGUUUGAGCUCGUAGGAAGCAGGACUAUCGAUUGGCAUUCAAGGAUUUUCAGGAUUCGACCAAAAAUUUGCAUCAAAAUUUUCCUGGUGCUUUACUCGGAAAAUUGGCAAAAAUCGAUAAAAUCCGGGCUAACUUGGCCAUUUUGAGGACUAUCAUGAUGUCCCUUGGACAGUAAAUAGUCCUCGUCCCCCAGAUUACGAAUUAGCAAUAAAAAGGACGAAAGUCCUUCAAAUGGCGGAGCAAAAAUGCCAAAUUUUCAAACACAAAAUAGCCUAUAACUCCGUUAUAUCCUUGUAUAUCCUGACGAGUCCUGUGUCAAAUAAAUUGUAUGGACCAGGGCUAUCAUCUGGCCAAAGGACAUCAAAAUCGUCCUUGUAGUUUCUGAAAUAUGAAGGAUUUUGUGUUUUCGGCCUGUUUCCCUUGCAAAUCGGGGCAGAAAAUUUUUACAAGUACAGGAUUCUUAGAUGACCCCAUAAUUUUUUGAUGCAGAUCGACGCAGCUUGUCCUUACGAUCCUAACGCACCAAGUCCUGCGAAAUUGUGCAAGGAUAUAGCCGAGCUAUGGCCAUUUUUCUAAAAAGGACAUUCGUUUUUUGGCCAUAGCUGGGCCAAAUACUAAAGGAUAUCAGAAGGAUACAUCUGUUUGAACUCGUAGCGAGCAGGACUAUCGAUUGGCAUUCAAGGAUUUUCAGGAUUCGACCAAAAAUUUGCAUUAAAAUUUUCCUAGGGGUUUACUCGGAAAAUUGGCAAAAAUCGAUAAAAUCCGGGCUAACUUGGCCAUUUUAAGGACUAUCAUGAUGUCCUUUGGACAGUAAAUAGUCCUCGUCCCCCAGAUUACGAAUUAGCAAUAAAAAGGACGAAAGUCCUUCAAAUGGCGGAGCAAAAAUGCCAAAUUUUCAAACACAAAAUAGCCUAUAACUCCGUUAUAUCCUUGUAUAUCCUGACGAGUCCUGUGUCAAAUAAAUUGUAUGGACCAGGGCUAUCAUCUGGCCAAAGGACAUCAAAA